UACGGGAGGCAGCAGUGGGGAAUAUUGCACAAUGGGCGCAAGCCUGAUGCAGCCAUGCCGCGUGUAUGAAGAAGGCCUUCGGGUUGUAAAGUACUUUCAGUCGUGAGGAAGGUGUUAAGGUUAAUAACCUUAGCAAUUGACGUUAGCGACAGAAGAAGCACCGGCUAACUCCGUGCCAGCAGCCGCGGUAAUACGGAGGGUGCGAGCGUUAAUCGGAAUUACUGGGCGUAAAGGGCACGCAGGCGGUUAAUUAAAUUGGAUGUGAAAUCCCCGGGCUUAACCUGGGAAUGGCAUUCAAGACUGGUUAGCUAGAGUCUUGUAGAGGGGGUAGAAUUCCAUGUGUAGCGGUGAAAUGCGUAGAGAUGUGGAGGAAUACCGGUGGCGAAGGCGGCCCCUGGACAAAGACUGACGCUCAUGUGCGAAAGCGUGGGGAGCAAAC
rnacentral:rRNA from 1 species